rnacentral:rRNA from 1 species
CAGCAGCCACGGGAAUACGUAGGGGGCAAGCGUUAUCCGGAAUUACUGGGUGUAAAGGGAGCGUAGACGGUUAAACAAGUCUGAAGUGAAAUGCCGGGGCUCAACCCCGGAGCUGCUUUGGGAACUGUAGAACUGGAGUGUCGGAGGGGUAAGCGGAAUUCCCAGUGUAGCGGUGAAAUGCGUAGAUAUUGGGAGGAACACCGGCGGCGAAGGCGGCUUACUGGACGACAACUGACGUUGAGGCUCGAAGGCGUGGGUAGCAAACAGGAUUAGAUACCCCCGUAGUCCCUGUCUCUUAUAC